GAAGGGCACCCGGGGAACUGAAACAUCUAAGUACCCGGAGGAAAAGAAAGAAACAUCGAUUUCGUUAGUAGCGGCGAGCGAAAGCGAAAGAGCCCAAACCAUCCGACUACGGUUGGGUGGGGUUGUGGGUCAGCAACAUGUACGACGAUGCUUAGGAGAAGAGUUCUGGAAAGGACUUCCAAAGAGGGUAAGAGGCCCGUAUCCGAAAGGUUGAAUCGGCAAGCUGAUACCAGAGUACCACAGGACACGAGGAAUCCGGUGGGAAGCAGGAGGGACCACCCUCCAAGGCUAAAUACGAUCCAGUGACCGAUAGCGCAUAGUACCGUGAGGGAAAGGUGAAAAGAACCCCGGGAGGGGAGUGAAAAAGAACCUGAAACCCUGUGCUUACAAGCAGAGAGAGCACGAUUAAGUGUGAUCUCGUACUUUUUGUAGAACGGACCGGCGAGUUACGUUAUGCAGCGAGGUUAAGAACUGAAGGUUUGGAGCCGAAGCGAAAGCGAGUCUGAAAAGGGCGAAGAGUUGCAUGACGUAGACCCGAAACCGGGUGACCUAUCCAUGGGCAGGUUGAAGUGGAAGUAAAAUUUCAUGGAGGACCGAACCAGACGUCUGUUGAAAAAGGCGGGGAUGACCUGUGGAUAGCGGAGAAAUUCCAAUCGAACCCGGAGAUAGCUGGUUCUCCUCGAAAUAGCUUUAGGGCUAGCCUCGCAUUAGUUUACCGGAGGUAGAGCACUGAAUGGUCUAGGGGGCCUCACCGCCUACCGAAACCUAUCAAACUGCGAAUGCCGGAUAAAUGAUGUGCGGGAGUCAGGCCGCGAGAGAUAAGUUCCGCGGUCAAAAGGGGAACACCCCAGAUCGUCUGCUAAGGUCCCCAAGUACGCGUUAAGUGGGAAAGGAUGUUGGAUUGCACAGACAACCAGGAUGUUGGCUUAGAAGCAGCCACACAUUCAAAGAGUGCGUAAUAGCUCACUGGUCGAGUGAUCCAGCGCCGAAAAUGUAACGGGGCUAAAACGCGACACCGAAGCAGCGGGAUGCGUAAGCAUCGGUAGAGGAGCAUUGUGUGAGGAUAGAAGCCAGAGCGGGAGCACUGGUGGACUUCACAGAAGAGAGAAUGCCGGUAUGAGUAGCGAGACCCAUGCGAGAAACAUGGGCGUCGAAGGCCCAAGGUUUCCUGGGGAAGGUUCAUCCACCCAGGGUAAGUCGGGACCUAAGCCGAGGACUGAGGUCGUAGGCGAUGGACAGCAGGUAGAGAUUCCUGCACCACUUACACUUGUUUGACGAAGCAGUGACACAGAAGGAUAGGACGAGCGCGGUGAUGGUCAACCGCGUAGGCGGCACGAGGCUGGGGAGCAGUAAAGUACACUUCCCGUGAAGGCUGAGUGCUGACAGGACCGAAAAAGAGUAGGGAAGCGUCUGAGUUCACGCUGGCGAGAAAAGCUGCUAAGGAGAGUGUGAGUGCCCGUACCGGAAACCGACGCAGGUGGGCGAGGAGAGAAUCCUGAGACGGACGGGAGAACUCUUGUUAAGGAACUCGGCAAAAUGACCCCGUAACUUCGGGAGAAGGGGUGCCUCGAAAGAGGCCGCAGAGAAUAGUCACAAGCGACUGUUUAGCAAAAACACAGGUAUCUGCGAAAGCGAGAGCUGACGUAUAGGUGCUGACGCCUGCCCGGUGCUGGAAGGUUAAGGGGAAGUGUUAGGGGAAACCCGAAGCAGAGAACCGAAGCCCCAGUAAACGGCGGCCGUAACUAUAACGGUCCUAAGGUAGCGAAAUUCCUUGUCGGGUAAGUUCCGACCCG
rnacentral:rRNA from 1 species